UUCUUAUCCAGAGAGACUGAGGGAUUGGCCCAGUGACGUCUCAGCAACCACCUUGUGUAGAGCAAGGAACGGUGCUAAUUCCAAAUAGGCAACUGCCUAGAAGAUAAGAA
rnacentral:ncRNA from 2 species